AGCAAGUCUAUAUCAUCUAGACUUGCACAGCUUCAGUGUAGCACCACAAUGUGCAGGAACAUGCCGGGCAUCAUUGAGGUCUACUCGAAGAGAUGCAGAGUACCUCACAUCAAGAAGAAGAGGGAGAGAAGGUCCCCAACUAAUACUGCAGUCCCCAACAGUGAUAGAUGUUGUUCCCACAGAGCAGAAAGAACAUUUUCCUAGCUCGGUCCCUAUCACCUGCGAAUAACGGCGGAUUACUGCACACAGCGCUAAGUGACAACUUUAUGGUACACCUUUCAUCUCCUCAGAAGGUUCCACUGUAUCGAGUAUUGGUUAAGAACUUGGCUUUGGAUCGAACUCAAGGAUGAGUUGCCGUGGGCUCCAGUCCUGUCAGUCCCUGGAAGGAAGUUACACUCGAAGAGUGAGGAAGGACAAAAGACAAAGGGUUGCUUCUUUCCUCCCUUCGACCGGAUAAGCAUUUUCAGUUGCUUAGCUCAUUGAUAAUGAGAUGGGUUUUUUUUCUUCCUCUACUUCCCUAAAGGGGACUUCCCUUCCUUCCCUGGGGAUUGUCAGUCUGUGCCUUCUGCUUGUCGGGGCCUUGGGGAGAUCCCCUCUCAGCAGGAGAUGGAUGAGGCAAUUGAUCCUCACUCUCAGGUUAAUGAAUCCAAUUUCAUCCUUUGGACGAAUUGACUUUUGGGGUCCCACUGAGACAUGUGUUGUUGCUUAAAUCAGCAAAAUGAUCCCAAGACCAUAACAUGCAAUCCAACGCAGUCAUAUUCGAGGCUCUGGGACAUGGAUUAUCAUUAUUAUUAUUAUUACUAUAUUCUCAUCCGCAACAGCCCAAAGCAGAUUUAUGAAGACUGUGUCGCUUUGCCGGACGGACGUUUCGCUGCUCUAUAGCGCGUUUGUCCGGUGACGGCAGCAGACGCGCGAAUCGUGAGUCCUCUGCAAAUUGGUCGAUCAGAAGACGAGGUGCCAAAAAUACGUGAUUAGUGAUUAGUCACCGUCAAGCAUUAAAUAUAAUUAAAUAAUAAAUCAUAAAUAAUAAUAAUAAUAAAUUGAAUAUAAGUAUAGGUCGACUCGCCGACGAGUCGACAAAUCGAUUCAACCCCUAGUGCACAUUCACGCCUCAGUAACUAAACAUUUUACAAAUGGUUAUGUGUGAUUCUAUACAGCAGGGUGCUCAUUUUCUUUGGUUAUGGUAAGCACUAGUUAUGUAUGACUGGUGUGUAGAGAGCGGUUUUAGUUAAUUUACUUCGUUUAGUUAAUGCAGUGGUUUAGCUCAUUUACUUUGGCUUAUAAACUCUGUGGCUUCACAGGACUAUUUCAACGGUUAUCCAAACUUCAUUCAAACAUGACUCCAUUAAACCCCUGAAGAAGUUUAAAAAAAAACAACAACAUAUAAUUGCUCGUUAAAAUAUACAUGAUGUUAUAUCAAUGCAUGUUUUCAGCUCCUGUAAUGAGUCUAUUGAGCCCUAUAUUCUUUUCUCUGACACAUAUUAUGUAAACUUAUACACUUACAUUGAAAAUGAGUAAAUACUAUAUACAGCUAAGGUGUGGCACAGGUUAUGGUUAUUAAGUAUUCAGCAAGCUUAUUUUGGGGAUGAAUUUAAAUGUAGCCUAAUAAUGAUGAAUUAAAAAAAAUAGCGCAUCCCAUCUAACUUUGUGAAGUUUGUUUACAGGCUUCAGGGAAAUUAAGUAUAGCUGUUAUAUUGGGAGUAUUCGUCCAACUUACAUAGUGUUUGGAGGGAUUCCUCCUCUUCUGCACAUCCACAACAUUGACGUCAAGCACUGUCCUGAGCUGCAUCUCGACACAAGUGAACGUUACACUACCAAAUCAAAACACAACGUCUGCCCAUGAAAGCCAAGAGGAAGUUUACCGAAGACUGUCCACUGUGUUUUGUUUAAUGUUUGUUUUUUUCUAAGUUAGAUACUGUAGAGGGAAAAGUCCCAUGCAGCCAUAAGUACAAGGGUUGCUCUCGAGCGGUCUGGGAGCUUCUGAAACAUGACAGCCAAGUAAAAGUAAAUCAAGAGUUCUCCUCCUCCCGAAAGGACGGGG